CAGUAGCCACGGUAAUACGAAGGGGGCUAGCGUUGUUCGGAAUUACUGGGCGUAAAGCGCACGUAGGCGGAUAUUUAAGUCAGGGGUGAAAUCCCGCAGCUCAACUGCGGAACUGCCUUUGAUACUGGGUAUCUUGAGUAUGGAAGAGGUUAGUGGAAUUGCGAGUGUAGAGGUGAAAUUCGUAGAUAUUCGCAGGAACACCAGUGGCGAAGGCGGCUAACUGGUCCAUAACUGACGCUGAGGUGCGAAAGCGUGGGGAGCAAACAGGAUUAGAGACCCCUGUAGUCCCUGUCUCUUAUAC
rnacentral:rRNA from 1 species